AAAGGAACUAUAAAAGUGUUUAAAACUAAAACAACCAACUUUAUUAAAUAUAAUUAAACUUUAGUACACAAGAACUAAUUAAUAUAAUUUGACCCAUACAAAUCUAACAAGUAACAUACUCACUAUUUAUGGAGUAUGAAAUAAUAUAACUCUUCACUAAAACUAAUAUCAUUUCACUAAGCCCCUAUUUGGUUGCGGUAUCUCACCCUUUAUACCCAAACAAAAAAUUUAAAGGGGUGGAAUUACUAUCGCACCCCUUAACGGUUAUCCAGGGAGUGGGGUUAGCAAUCCCAUCGCUCCCAUUAGAAUAAGGGUGGCAAUAGCUAUUCCUAUCCCUAUUUAAUUUUUAAAUUUAAAUUUAUAAUUUUAAAUUUUAAAUUAUAAAUAAAAAUUUAUAAUUUGUAAUCUUAAAAUUAAAAUUUAUAAUUUAUAAUUUAAAAAUUAUAAAUUUUAAAUUUUAAAUUGAUAUAUUUAAUUUUUUAAAUUUAAAAUUUAAAAUUUUAUAUUUCUAAAUUUAGAUUUGAUCUUAAAUUAAAAAUUUGAAAUUAAAAAUUUAAAACUUUGAAUUUUUGAAUUUGAUAUUUUUAAAUUCAAAUUUUAAUUUUGUAUUUUUGAAAUUUAAGAGUUAUAUAUUUAAAUUUAAAUUUAAAAUUUUAAAUAUAAAAUUUUAAAAAUUUAAUUCAAAUAUAAUAAAAAGGGCAAUAUCAUUAUUUUCUAUUUAUAACCACACAUUAUCCUUCUUUUUUUCCAUUCACUUCAACUAAAAUACUAUUUUGUUUAUACUUGGAAUAAACAUAAUAUUCAACCAAACACAAAAUUAUUCUAUACCCACCUUAUAUCUCAUCUUAUACUUAUUUCUGAAACAACUAGUUCUUACUUAUAUCCAAACCAAAUGAAUCCUUAGAAUACUGUUCAAGGGGAAAAAAAAAAAAAAAGAAAACUACUUUUGUUACUUUUUCUAGUAGGCUAUUUCACCUGAGCCCGCUUGUACUAUCGAUUGUAUUGUGUAAUUCCUUCGAUCCUCACAAGAAAAUACUAUUUUGCUUAUAUUUAGACUAAACCUAAUACUUAAUCAAGUAUAAAAUUAUUAUAUACCUACCUUAUAUCUCAUCUUAUAUUUAUUUCUGAAAUAACUAGUUAUUACUUAUAUCGGGACCUAACAAAGCCCUAGAAUACUGUUUAAGAAAAAAAAA
rnacentral:lncRNA from 1 species